UACGUAGGGUGCGAGCGUUAAUCGGAAUUACUGGGCGUAAAGGGUGCGUAGGCGGUUCGUUAAGUCUGUCGUGAAAUCCCCGGGCUCAACCUGGGAAUGGCGAUGGAUACUGGCGAGCUAGAGUGUGUCAGAGGAUGGUGGAAUUCCCGGUGUAGCAGUGAAAUGCGUAGAGAUCGGGAGGAACAUCAGUGGCGAAGGCGGCCAUCUGGGACAACACUGACGCUGAAGCACGAAAGCGUGGGGAGCAAACAGG
rnacentral:rRNA from 1 species